GACGAACGCUGGCGGCGUGCUUAACACAUGCAAGUCGAACGGUGAACGAGGGAGCUUGCUCCCUCCGGAUCAGUGGCGAACGGGUGAGUAACACGUGAGCAAUCUGCCCCUAACUCUGGGAUAAGCUUUGGAGACGACGUCUAAUACCGGAUACUACCCGGGAGGGCAUCCUCUCCUCGUGGAAGGAACUUCUGUUCGGGAUGAUCUCGCGGCCUAUCCGCUUUUUGGUGAGGUAACGGCUCACCAAGGCGCCGACGGGUAGCCGGCCUGAGAGGGUGACAGGCCACAAUGGGACUGAGAGACGGCCCAGAGUCCUACGGGAGGCAGCAGUGGGGAAUAUUGCACAAUGGGCGCAAGCCUGAUGCAGCAACGCCGCGUGAGGGAAGACGGCCUUCGGGUUGUAAACCUCUUUUAGCAGGGAAGAAGCGAAAGUGACGGUACCUGCAGAAAAAGCACCGGCUAACUACGUG
rnacentral:rRNA from 1 species